rnacentral:lncRNA from 1 species
GGCAUAUAGAGUUUGACCUUAUUUCCCUUGGAUCAGACAGCUGGUUUUUGACAAAGCAAGGAUAUGAACCUGUGGCUUCUGUUUCCAAGUCAAGUGCACGUCUAUGAACAGAGAAGUCACUACCCUGGAGGCUAGUGACAUCCAAGAAGACUCUCAACCUUCCCUGAUUCUUUCAACAGGCUGUGUCCUGUGCCUACUCUGU